rnacentral:rRNA from 1 species
GAUGAACGCUGGCGGCGUGCCUAAUACAUGCAAGUCGAGCGAACGGACGAGAAGCUUGCUUCUCUGAUGUUAGCGGCGGACGGGUGAGUAACACGUGGAUAACCUACCUAUAAGACUGGGAUAACUUCGGGAAACCGGAGCUAAUACCGGAUAAUAUUUUGAACCGCAUGGUUCAAAAGUGAAAGACGGUCUUGCUGUCACUUAUAGAUGGAUCCGCGCUGCAUUAGCUAGUUGGUAAGGUAACGGCUUACCAAGGCAACGAUGCAUAGCCGACCUGAGAGGGUGAUCGGCCACACUGGAACUGAGACACGGUCCAGACUCCUACGGGAGGCAGCAGUAGGGAAUCUUCCGCAAAGGGCGGAAGCCUGACGGAGCAACGCCGCGUGAGUGAUGAAGGUCUUCGGAUCGUAAAACUCUGUUAUUAGGGAAGAACAUAUGUGUAAGUAACUGUGCACAUCUUGACGGUACCUAAUCAGAAAGCCACGGCUAACUACGUG